rnacentral:ncRNA from 1 species
GCAGAGAUAAAAACGCAACGCAUUGCCUUUUGACCAUGCCAGAGCCGGUAGGUAGCCCGGCCGUCCCGCAUCAGGCAAAACAGAAAAAUUUCAUGCUGCAUGCGGGGUAAGUAACCUGCCCCUCCCGGGUUGUCCGUUCUUUGCUGAA